rnacentral:misc_RNA from 3 species
AACUAACGCUAUAUAAGUAUCAGUUUCUGUACUAUAUUGGUAUAAGAAGCUUCCGGUCCACACCGGCAAGAUUUUGGGUUCGGUUCCGCGAGGGGCCACC